GAGAGAGAGAGAGAGAGAGAACCUUUCAGAGUCUGAUAGAGACUGAAGAUACAUUUAUAAAUAGUUGAUUUAGGUUGCUGAGCACAUUUUUGCAAACUCUGGUCACCUUUACUUUAGACUCUUCCGUUAUGGAUUAAACCUCUAUUCUUGUAUGGGAAUAAAAACGGCAGAGCAUUUUUCAAAAGUUUAAAAUCUGUGGUCCAAAAUGAUCUCGUGGGGACUCUCGCUCUGAUUGGUCAGCUAAGCCAUGUGACUCCACAGCCCACCCGCACUGAGAGCUACCUCAAGAGGCCGAGAUGAUUCAAGGUCAAAAAUAUUAAGCUGUACCCCUCCCAUUUCAGUCUGGAUGACCACAGCUCUGUGUCCAAUCCAGGAGCGCUUUUAAAGGAGAAGAGGAGGUUUGGGGUUUGGACUGACUGCUGUGAAACUUUUUACCUUUUCACCUGUACUAGAAAUGCCAUGAGAGGAUUUUCUCAACAAUUUUUUUGAAAUAGAGAAAAGGGGAAGAAACUGAGCUUGGACUGAUACACUGAUGUGCUUGUUUUCUAAGAUGCAAUGCUGCAAAAUGAAUUUCACUGCAUUAUUUACAGAUAUCAAUAUAUAAGAAAAGAGGAAGCGAGAGAGAGAGAAAGAGAGAGAGGAACAGAGCUGCUGAUGCAUUGCAGAUAAACUGCAGAUCCUGGGUAACCCCUCCCCUCCACUUCUCUCCCUCGCUCCCACCCAGACGCACCGUAUGACAUCACCGCUGCCUCCACCCUCGUCUCCUCACUCCUCCGAGCGUGAGUCACUGGCUCCCUCUGUGCCCCGGCCCAGACUAAUGCCUCUAAUGUCGCUCCCUUAAUCGAGCCAGCGCUUCCACACAUCUCUCAACUCUGUUAGCCACGCUCGGCCCAGCAGUCCCUCUGGAGCCUUAAAUCAUUUCUUUGAAGCAUAAAGGUGUCCAGAAUGUGCAGACUGAAAAGUGCUGCCCAGCCUGCCCUGACCGUGCACAGGUUUAACAAGCAGGCCGUGUUGCUGUCUCUUAUUUUGACAGUGACUCCUAUAAACUCCUUACGUUUGAUGUUCUGAUUGUCAGCCUGGUAGACUCUAAUGCAAUGCUGAAUGCACCCUUGCAUCAUCCUUAACAGGGGAAUAGAUGAAAGCAGGAGUCUGCAGAAGUGCCUAUGACAGGCAGAGCCACUCUCUCUUCUUGGUUGGAGACAAGUGCCACCAGAAUGCACAUUUGGACAAACUAACAUUAUUUUUAUUUGGCAAAUCAACAGGUUUCAUUAUCAUGCAGCUUCUUGGAGCAUCUGUUCAACAGCAGAGGGACAGAUAAUAAACAGAUGUAGCAGUUUAACACAAACGUGUGUGACAGAGAGUGACAUUGAUGUAACAUUGCACACCAGACAGCAGGCAUACUGUCCCAUAUUAUCUUGUGCUAAUUAUUGCAACAUGUCAAUAAUGCUGAUAUUACGUUUGUUGUGCAGUGUCAUGGCUGACAUUGCUAAGAGGGAGUGAGCCUGACUCAGAGACUGAGAGAGGGAGACUAGAGCUGACAUUUCAGGAAGAGCUGAUAUUUAUGGCUGUCUGGGUCAGGGCACCUUCCUCACCACAUGCACUUCGUUCUGUCCUUCAGCUUUAUUCUGUCCAGUCAUCUUUAACCAAUCAAAUUAUAAGCUUAAAGUAUCUAUCCAGAAUUAAUGUGUUGACAAUACCUUCACUGUCACAAUAAAAAAUUGAAAAUAUGA